rnacentral:rRNA from 1 species
AUGGCCGCCGCCGACGCCGACGCCGCGAAGCUCUCCGUCUCCUUUCAGGCCUUCGCGGCGCUCCUCGACUGCUGUGCAGCCGCUGGCGGGGACUGCGACGGGAUACUCCUCGGCCGUGCCGCCCUCCCCCCUUCCUUCCCCGACGAUGAUCCCGCCCCAACCCUACCCAUCUACGUCACCGGCCACUCGUCGCUCGCCCGACGCUCCGUCCUCUCCAACGCACUCGACUGCUUCAAGCCCUACUCCCCCGCCCGCCCGGGCACGGCCACCGUCGGCUUCUUCUCCUCCCGCCGCAGCGCGUGGGCGACGCGCCGCCCCUCCAUGCGCGAGGCCGCCGUCGCCCGCUCCCUCUCCAAAUCUCUGGCCCUCACCCACCCUGUCGUGUUUCUCCUCUUAGCCCCCUCUGUCGCCUCCGACCUCUCCAUCCACUCUUUCGACCACCGCGCCUUCCUCCUUGUUGAUUCCCGCCUCGUCCCCACCUCCCUCACGAUCGUCAACGUGGGUCCUCGUUUCCAGGGCCAGUACCAGUGCCACACCUUCACGGCGGAGUCGACAAUACCGUGGCUGCCGCCUCCGCCAGCAAACAUCGGAGAGCAAGCAACCGAGGCGGAGGAGAUGUAUUCCGGGAUGCUAAGGAGGUUGGAGAGGCUUGCUCAGGAGGCGGAGGAGCGCAAUAAGCGGCUGCUCCAUAAGGAAAAUAAGAACUUAUUGGGAAGGAGAAAAUUUGCUUGGUUGAAGUAA